rnacentral:rRNA from 1 species
CGGCAACAGCUCAGAUUUGAAAUCUGGCCUUCGGGUCCGAGUUGUAAUCUGUAGAGGAUGCUUUUGGCAAGGCGCCUUCUGAGUCUCCUGGAACGGAGCGCCAUAGAGGGUGAGAGCCCCGUACGGUUGGACGCCGAGCCUCUGUAAAGCACCUUCGAC